AAAAAAAAUAAGAAAUAAAAUUCUCUACCAGAAAUUUUGUUGAUUGGCGGAAAUUACAUCGGCAAGGAUUUUUAUGGAUAAAAAGAAAGUCGAGAUAAUACGGACGAGUUUCGAUUUUCGAGCUUCCGACGUUCGUCUCUGCGUUGGGACCUCGUGAAACGACGUGAAAGGGUAGUGCGAAUGAGGCGAACGCUUUCAAACCGAUGAGAUGACAGUGCUGUGCGUGCUGUGGGCUACUCUGUCCACCGUUGCAUCGAUCCUAGCGUGUUCUGGCUUUUAUUUGCCUUAUUGGAUACAGGGACGACUACUGGGAAAGGCCGACGCGUACUUCAGUUCCUUUCGACGUUGCAACUAUCCACGAAUCAGAGCACCUAACGCUACACCUGAGAUAGUUUACCAGUGUGCAAGGUACUCUAGUUUCUGGGAUAUACCAAGUGCAUGGUGGCAAGCCAGUACGGUAACGAUGGGGAUCGGUGUAUCGAUCGCAGUGAUCGGUGCUUUGACUCUUCUAGCAGCUGCAUCUUCUUUUCUACCGCAUAUUCUAAGGACUCCGAAGCAUACGAGGCUUCUUGGUUCCAUUCAUUUCAUAGCAGCUGCAAUGAUAUGUGGUGGUUUGGUGAUGUACCCUAUUGGAUGGGACAAUCAAGAAGUACGUGAGUCCUGCGGCAAAGCUGCGAACGUGUACAAUCUCGGCAAAUGCUCGUUGUCCUGGUCCAGCCCCCUCCUCAUCGGCUCGGUAAUCUUGCUGAUGCUGUGCUUCGGUCUGAGUUUCUGUGCUGCCCGAUACAAGCCGUCAAACUCCCACACGGAUCCCUUGCGCAUUUGACAAUCGAUUCGCGCCUACGCUUCGCCGAAGACGACGACAACUGCUCUCUCUUUCCUCGCCGCUGUUGAUCGUCACUCUGAUGUAGUCACCUGAUGACAUACGUAUAUACCUUGAAUAGUUUCACGUAC
rnacentral:misc_RNA from 1 species